UUUACUAAUGAUGAUAAAUAAUCACAUUUCAUGAUCUUAAAUGAUUAUUCAUUACAUGCACUACCAACUGAAGUAAU